UACGUAGGGGGCAAGCGUUGUCCGGAAUUAUUGGGCGUAAAGAGCGUGUAGGCGGUCCGGUAAGUCAGCUGUGAAAGUCAAGGGCUCAACCCUUGAAAGCCGGUUGAUACUGUCGGGCUAGAGUCCGGAAGAGGCGAGUGGAAUUCCCGGUGUAGCGGUGAAAUGCGCAGAUAUCGGGAGGAACACCGGUGGCGAAGGCGGAUCUCUGGGCCUUACCUGACGCUCAGGCGCGAAAGCUAGGGGAGCGAACAGG
rnacentral:rRNA from 1 species